CGGGCUGUAGUAUACCGGCAGUACGUGCCCUUCGGGAGGGUAAAGACUGGGUUCGAUUCCCAGCAGCCCGA
rfam:Candidatus Giovannonibacteria bacterium RIFCSPLOWO2_01_FTLL_46_13 rifcsplowo2_01_scaffold_439, whole genome shotgun sequence.